rnacentral:rRNA from 1 species
GUCGAACGGAACCCUUAGGGGUUUAGUGGCGGACGGGUGAGUAACGCGUGAGAAUCUGGCUCUAGGUUCGGGACAACCACUGGAAACGGUGGCUAAUACCGGGUAUGCCGAGAGGUGAAAGGUUAACUGCCUGGAGAUGAGCUCGCGUCUGAUUAGCUAGUUGGUGGUGUAAGGGACUACCAAGGCGACGAUCAGUAGCUGGUCUGAGAGGAUGAUCAGCCACACUGGAACUGAGACACGGUCCAGACUCCUACGGGAGGCAGCAGUGGGGAAUUUUCCGCAAUGGGCGAAAGCCUGACGGAGCAAUACCGCGUGAGGGAGGAAGGCUCUUGGGUUGUAAACCUCUUUUCUCAGGGAAUAAGCAAGUGAAGGUACCUGAGGAAUCAGCAUCGGCUAACUCCGUGCCAGCAGCCGCGGUAAUACGGAGGAUGCAAGCGUUAUCCGGAAUGAUUGGGCGUAAAGCGUCCGUAGGUGGCUGUGUGUGUCUAUUGUUAAAGAGUUUGGCUCAACCAAAUAAGGGCGGUAGAAACUACACAGCUAGAGUGCGUUCGGGGCAGAGGGAAUUCCUGGUGUAGCGGUGAAAUGCGUAGAGAUCAGGAAGAACACCGGUGGCGAAAGCGCUCUGCUAGGCCGCAACUGACACUGAGGGACGAAAGCUAGGGGAGCGAAUGGGAUUAGAUACCCCAGUAGUCCUAGCCGUAAACGAUGGAUACUAGGCGUUGAGAGUAUCGACCCUCUCAGUGCCGUAGCUAACGCGUUAAGUAUCCCGCCUGGGGAGUACGCACGCAAGUGUGAAACUCAAAGGAAUUGACGGGGGCCCGCACAAGCGGUGGAGUAUGUGGUUUAAUUCGAUGCAACGCGAAGAAACCUUACCAGGGCUUGAACAUGUCUGGAACUCUGGGGGAAACUCGGAGGUGCCUUCCGGGAGCCCAGAACACAGGUGGUGCAUGGGCUGUCGUCAGCUCGUGUCGUGAGAUGUUGGGUUAAGUCCCGCAACGAGCGCAACCCUCGUACUUAGUUGCCAGCAUUUCGGAUGGGCACUCUAAGGAGACUGCCGGUGACAAACCGGAGGAAGGUGGGGAUGACGUCAAGUCAGCAUGCCCCUUACGUCCUGGGCUACACACGUACUACAAUGCUACGGACAAAGGGCAGCGAGACUGCGAAGUCAAGCAAAUCUCAGAAACCGUGGCUCAGUUCAGAUCGCAGGCUGCAACUCGCCUGCGUGAAGGAGGAAUCGCUAGUAAUUGCAGGUCAGCAUACUGCAGUGAAUUCGUUCCCGGGCCUUGUACACACCGCCCGUCACACCAUGGAAGCUGGUCACGCCCGAAGUCGUUACCCUAACUUUUCGGAGAGGGGGACGCCGAA